AUUGAACGCUGGCGGCAUGCCUUACACAUGCAAGUCGAACGGCAGCGGACCUUCGGGUGCCGGCGAGUGGCGAACGGGUGAGUAAUAUAUCGGAACGUACCUUUCAGUGGGGGAUAACGUAGCGAAAGUUACGCUAAUACCGCAUAUUCUGUGAGCAGGAAAGCAGGGGAUCGCAAGACCUUGCGCUGAUUGAGCGGCCGAUAUCAGAUUAGCUAGCUGGUGAGGUAAAGGCUCACCAAGGCGACGAUCUGUAGCGGGUCUGAGAGGAUGAUCCGCCACACUGGAACUGAGACACGGUCCAGACUCCUACGGGAGGCAGCAGUGGGGAAUUUUGGACAAUGGGCGCAAGCCUGAUCCAGCCAUGCCGCGUGAGUGAAGAAGGCCUGGUUGUAAG
rnacentral:rRNA from 1 species